rfam:Klebsiella pneumoniae IS43, WGS project CBWK01000000 data, contig: c25
GGUUAAGCGACUAAGCGUACACGGUGGAUGCCCUGGCAGUCAGAGGCGAUGAAGGACGUGCUAAUCUGCGAAAAGCGUCGGUAAGGUGAUAUGAACCGUUAUAACCGGCGAUGUCCGAAUGGGGAAACCCAGUGCAAUUCGUUGCACUAUCGUUAACUGAAUACAUAGGUUAACGAGGCGAACCGGGGGAACUGAAACAUCUAAGUACCCCGAGGAAAAGAAAUCAACCGAGAUUCCCCCAGUAGCGGCGAGCGAACGGGGAGCAGCCCAGAGUCUGAAUCAGCUUGUGUGUUAGUGGAACGGUCUGGAAAGUCCGACGGUACAGGGUGAUAGUCCCGUACACCAAAAUGCACAGGCUGUGAACUCGAAGAGUAGGGCGGGACACGUGGUAUCCUGUCUGAAUAUGGGGGGACCAUCCUCCAAGGCUAAAUACUCCUGACUGACCGAUAGUGAACCAGUACCGUGAGGGAAAGGCGAAAAAGAACCCCGGCGAGGGGAGUGAAAAAGAACCUGAAACCGUGUACGUACAAGCAGUGGGAGCACCUUCGGGUGUGACUGCGUACCUUUUGUAUAAUGGGUCAGCGACUUAUAUUCUGUAGCAAGGUUAACCGUAUAGGGGAGCCGCAGGGAAACCGAGUCUUAACUGGGCGUUAAGUUGCAGGGUAUAGACCCGAAACCCGGUGAUCUAGCCAUGGGCAGGUUGAAGGUUGGGUAACACUAACUGGAGGACCGAACCGACUAAUGUUGAAAAAUUAGCGGAUGACUUGUGGCUGGGGGUGAAAGGCCAAUCAAACCGGGAGAUAGCUGGUUCUCCCCGAAAGCUAUUUAGGUAGCGCCUCGUGAACUCAUCUUCGGGGGUAGAGCACUGUUUCGGCUAGGGGGUCAUCCCGACUUACCAACCGAUGCAAACUACGAAUACCGAAGAAUGUUAUCACGGGAGACACACGGCGGGUGCUAACGUCCGUCGUGAAGAGGGAAACAACCCAGACCGCCAGCUAAGGUCCCAAAGUCAUGGUUAAGUGGGAAACGAUGUGGGAAGGCACAGACAGCCAGGAUGUUGGCUUAGAAGCAGCCAUCAUUUAAAGAAAGCGUAAUAGCUCACUGGUCGAGUCGGCCUGCGCGGAAGAUGUAACGGGGCUAAACCAUGCACCGAAGCUGCGGCAGCGACACUAUGUGUUGUUGGGUAGGGGAGCGUUCUGUAAGCCUGCGAAGGUGUGCUGUGAGGCAUGCUGGAGGUAUCAGAAGUGCGAAUGCUGACAUAAGUAACGAUAAAGCGGGUGAAAAGCCCGCUCGCCGGAAGACCAAGGGUUCCUGUCCAACGUUAAUCGGGGCAGGGUGAGUCGACCCCUAAGGCGAGGCCGAAAGGCGUAGUCGAUGGGAAACAGGUUAAUAUUCCUGUACUUGGUGUUACUGCGAAGGGGGGACGGAGAAGGCUAUGUUAGCCGGGCGACGGUUGUCCCGGUUUAAGCAUGUAGGCUGAUUGUCCAGGCAAAUCCGGAUAAUCAAGGCUGAGGUGUGAUGACGAGGCACUACGGUGCUGAAGUAACAAAUGCCCUGCUUCCAGGAAAAGCCUCUAAGCAUCAGGUAACAUCAAAUCGUACCCCAAACCGACACAGGUGGUCAGGUAGAGAAUACCAAGGCGCUUGAGAGAACUCGGGUGAAGGAACUAGGCAAAAUGGUGCCGUAACUUCGGGAGAAGGCACGCUGGUGUGUAGGUGAAGUCCCUGCGGAUGGAGCUGAGACCAGUCGAAGAUACCAGCUGGCUGCAACUGUUUAUUAAAAACACAGCACUGUGCAAACACGAAAGUGGACGUAUACGGUGUGACGCCUGCCCGGUGCCGGAAGGUUAAUUGAUGGGGUUAUCCGUAAGGAGAAGCUCUUGAUCGAAGCCCCGGUAAACGGCGGCCGUAACUAUAACGGUCCUAAGGUAGCGAAAUUCCUUGUCGGGUAAGUUCCGACCUGCACGAAUGGCGUAAUGAUGGCCAGGCUGUCUCCACCCGAGACUCAGUGAAAUUGAACUCGCUGUGAAGAUGCAGUGUACCCGCGGCAAGACGGAAAGACCCCGUGAACCUUUACUAUAGCUUGACACUGAACAUUGAGCCUUGAUGUGUAGGAUAGGUGGGAGGCUUUGAAGCGUGGACGCCAGUCUGCGUGGAGCCAACCUUGAAAUACCACCCUUUAAUGUUUGAUGUUCUAACGUUGGCCCCUGACCGGGGUUGCGGACAGUGUCUGGUGGGUAGUUUGACUGGGGCGGUCUCCUCCCAAAGCGUAACGGAGGAGCACGAAGGUUAGCUAAUCCUGGUCGGACAUCAGGAGGUUAGUGCAAUGGCAUAAGCUAGCUUGACUGCGAGCGUGACGGCGCGAGCAGGUGCGAAAGCAGGUCAUAGUGAUCCGGUGGUUCUGAAUGGAAGGGCCAUCGCUCAACGGAUAAAAGGUACUCCGGGGAUAACAGGCUGAUACCGCCCAAGAGUUCAUAUCGACGGCGGUGUUUGGCACCUCGAUGUCGGCUCAUCACAUCCUGGGGCUGAAGUAGGUCCCAAGGGUAUGGCUGUUCGCCAUUUAAAGUGGUACGCGAGCUGGGUUUAGAACGUCGUGAGACAGUUCGGUCCCUAUCUGCCGUGGGCGCUGGAGAAUUGAGGGGGGCUGCUCCUAGUACGAGAGGACCGGAGUGGACGCAUCACUGGUGUUCGGGUUGUCAUGCCAAUGGCACUGCCCGGUAGCUAAAUGCGGAAGAGAUAAGUGCUGAAAGCAUCUAAGCACGAAACUUGCCCCGAGAUGAGUUCUCCCUGAGACUAUAAGUCUCCUGAAGGAACGUUGAAGACGACGACGUUGAUAGGCCGGGUGUGUAAGCGCAGCGAUGCGUUGAGCUAACCGGUACUAAUGAACCGUGAGGCUUAACCUU